GAAACUCUCGCGAGAGUUUGGCAACUUCCCAUUAGACCACCUGACGACCUGCCACAAACUAGAAAACCGCAAACAAGCACAGACCAUGAACGGGCUCCAGAACAGGAACUCGGGGAACGUGUUCACGCAGGUCUGGUCAUCCACAACAGGCACAGUUAUACACUUCAGGCGUGGAGAAUACUCAUCUGUUUCCAACAACAAGAAGGAAAAUUGUGUCAGACGCUGGAAAAGCUGAAGACCGGAGGUCAUGCUGAGAAGGCGACAGCAUUUGAAUUACAGGUAAAAAAUAAAGUGCUAGAUUUUAUGGUUGAAUUCUAAUAAAGCAGAAU